AAUUGACUUGGUAACGCAGCUAACGCGUGAAGUAGACCGCCUGGGGAGUACGGUCGCAAGAUUAAAACUCAAAGGAAUUGACGGGGACCCGCACAAGCGGUGGAUGAUGUGGAUUAAUUCGAUGCAACGCGAAAAACCUUACCUACCCUUGACAUGUACGGAAUCCUGAAGAGAUUUGGGAGUGCUCGAAAGAGAACCGUAACACAGGUGCUGCAUGGCUGUCGUCAGCUCGUGUCGUGAGAUGUUGGGUUAAGUCCCGCAACGAGCGCAACCCUUGUCAUUAGUUGCUACGAAAGGGCACUCUAAUGAGACUGCCGGUGACAAACCGGAGGAAGGUGGGGAUGACGUCAAGUCCUCAUGGCCCUUAUGGGUAGGGCUUCACACGUCAUACAAUGGUACAUACAGAGGGCCGCCAACCCGCGAGGGGGAGCUAAUCCCAGAAAGUGUAUCGUAGUCCGGAUUGGAGUCUGCAACUCGACUCCAUGAAGUUGGAAUCGCUAGUAAUCGCGGAUCAGCAUGUCGCGGUGAAUACGUUCCCGGGUCUUGUACACGCCGCCCGUCACACCAUGGGAGCGGGUUCUGCCGGAAGUAGUUAGCCUAACCGCAAGGGGGGCGAUUACCACGGCAGGGUU
rnacentral:rRNA from 1 species